rnacentral:rRNA from 1 species
UACGGGGGGGGCAAGCGUUGUUCGGAAUUACUGGGCGGAAAGGGCGCGUAGGCGGCCUGCUAAGUCGGAUGUGAAAUCCCUCGGCUCAACCGAGGAACUGCAUCCGAUACUGGCGGGCUUGAAUCCGGGAGAGGGAUGUGGAAUUCCAGGUGUAGCGGUGAAAUGCGUAGAUAUCUGGAGGAACACCGGUGGCGAAGGCGGCAUCCUGGACCGGUAUUGACGCUGAGGCGCGAAAGCUAGGGGAGCAAACGGG